CCGCCGCCGCCGCCGCCGCCUCCACCGCCGCCACCACCCCCUCCGGUGAGCUGGAGAAACAGGAGCGGGGCUGGGCGCCCCCAAACUCUCCCGCCACCUCCUCCUCGGGGACUGGUGGCGCCCCGGAUGGAGGCUUCCCUGGCUACCUCACCAGCACCCAGGACAAGAUCCGGAGCGGUGGCAGAUCAACACCUGCUGUCCAUGGCCACUCAGCGCCCUUCGAGUACGGCAGCAGCAUCCGGCGGGCAGAAAGCAGGGUCAAGCUCAACUCUGCCAACUUCACUGCCUCCCAAGGGCCAGGUCUGGACACAGACUUUGGAGCUAGCGCCGGUGUCUCGGUGAGAAUCUUGUCCUCCGACAGCGAGGAAAGCCCCCAAACCCCCCUGUUGCAUCGCCAGCGGUCGGGACGACUGGAGUGGGACUACUAUGACCCCAGCUACCAGACAGCAGCUCCGCUCCACCAUCAGCUGCCCCCCAUCGGCAGCAAACAAUACUGGCUGUAGCACAAGGGCAGCCACGGUCUGAGGGGUGGUGGCGAGAGCCACUAAGUCACUCCCUGGAAUGGGGCUCAGCUUUACUGGCUCCUGGCUGGGGGGGGGGCGGGUUCUACUCAGCUGUGGUCAGUCUACAUUAAUGGUGUCUUUAGUUGGGAACUCUAGCUACAAAAAGGAAAAUUCUGUUGAAUGUCAGACUUGGAAGGGGGCUUUCACACCCAAUGAAACACACAUUGAACUUUAUCCCUCCCCAGCCUUUGAUUCAGCUGCACCCAUGCACAUAGUUCAGCAUCACAAAUGCACAGCCCCGACCCCAUCAACCUUCCAUACUCAACACAAUAAUCCAGCAAAAAUGCACAGUGGCACUGAGGUGAGCAAGAUCAGACUGAAAUUGCAUGUUUCCUGAGGAAGGUCUACCUGAGCAGGUCUUGGAUGGCACCACCUCUGAAACGGGCUGGACCAAAAGGCCAGCCAAUAAUGCCUUAUACCCAAUGGGUGCCUGUGUGGGGGAGAGACACACCUUGCAUUAGCACAUAACACUUGCUCCUCUUAAACAACUAGAUCAGCAUCCACAGAGGCCGGAGGGUGAGUAGUUGGGAACUUCCUUGGAAAGAAGUCUCAACGUAUUAUGCAUGCAGUGUUUUUGACUUAUGUUCAUUAAAAGAUGCUGGAUUUUUUAA